UGGGGGAUAUUGCACAAUGGGCGAAAGCCUGAUGCAGCGACGCCGCGUGGGGGAUGAAGGCCUUCGGGUUGUAAACUUCUUUUGCUCUGAACAAGGCAUGCUAAUGGGUGUGUUGAGUGUAGGGGUUGAUUAGCGCCGGCUAACUACGUGCCAGCAGCCGCGGUAAUACGUAGGGCGCGAGCGUUGUCCGGAAUUAUUGGGCGUAAAGGGCUUGUAGGUGGCUGGUUGCGUCUGUCGUGAAAGCUCAUGGCUUAACUGUGGGUUUGCGGUGGGUACUGGCUGGCUUGAGUGCAGUAGGGGAGGCUGGAAUUCCUGGUGCAGCGGUGGAAUGCGCAGAUAUCAGGAGGAAUACCGGUGGCGAAGGCGGGUCUCUGGGCUGUUACUGACACUGAGGAGCGAAAGCAUGGGGAGCGAACAGG
rnacentral:rRNA from 1 species